rnacentral:lncRNA from 10 species
CUGCAGUCCUGCCUCCAGGAUACCUGUCCCUCCAGCCUUAUAUCCCACCUCUUCUUCAGCUCAUCCUGCCCACCCAGCGAGCUAAGGAACGCUGACUUCUGGCCUCCUUCCUUCCCAGCGCUCAGCUCCUCCUGCACAGCCCUCGGCCUGCCGUCCCCACUGUAGCUGGGCCCAGGCGGGAAGUGACCAGAGGCCAUGGGCAGACUUUCAGUGUUACCUAUUUGCCUUUCCAGAUCGGCGGCUUCAUCAGGCGUGGCUCGUGGGAGGACUCCGGGGUCGCUGAAGCUGGUGCGGAGCAGGGUCCCCAUCACAAAGAAGAACAGGAUGCCAGCGACUGCAGGGAUGGCAGGGGUGAUUUUCACCGCCAGGUACGGACAGCUGCCGACAGGUUGGACAGACCGGAGAGAAGGGGAAAAGAAAGGAAAUACAAUGUUAGGAAUCAACAUUCUGUCUUACAGACAAUUGAACCCCCACUCCCCAGUAUGACGCCCAAGCCCUCUGCUCUUACAGGAAGAUGCUGGCAGAAGAAUGAAAAUAGUCCUGCUUGUAUAAUCAGUCUAAGACGCACAGAGCUUGUAUAAAUAGACACGUGUCCUCUGUGCUGUAAACACGGUUCGGGAGUCUAUGAGAUCCCCCUGCCCUCCCCUGGGAUUACAUAACAGAAGAAGACACCAAUUUAGAAUGAUCUUCAUGAGAGCCAGCCUUUCCCACUUGGGUCAAAUGACUCGGGAACUUUCAGCCAGCACCAAACGCUGAGGACUGUACACACACUUUCAAAGGGCAAGAAACCAAUUUUCCAUGUUCUGGAGGUAAUCUAUUCCAAAGUGAAUGAGCUAUGGAAAUGGACUUGCAGGCAGGUUUCGGAAGAAGAUUUAAGGGAUUUCAGCAGCUGGAAUAGAAUCAUCUCAUGCUUUUCCAGAGGGCAUCUGAGCUAUCAAUGGAUGAACAUGGCCCAACUCUUAACUCGACCUUUUCACUGCUGUCAGUCUGACAUGCUGACGUGAAGCAGGGAUUGUUAUGAGUCAGGGAGAAGUGCCACUGGGACAGACUAAACUCUACACGAGCCAGCCUGGGAACCAGUGUCUGACAUUUGGUCUCAGAUCCAGGUAUUCUAGAGCUGGAGCAGUUCUUACCGUGGCCCCUUGAUGCAGUCAGAUGCCUGGACCUAAGUGAAGGAUGGGAUCUGCAGUGACCACAGUCAGUCCAUUGUCGCCACAUUAAAUAACAUCAUGGGCAUUGGGGAACAUGACGCAGAAUCACGGAAUUAGGACAUCUGGCGUGGAAAACAAUGCUAGAUUGCCCACCUCAUCAGAAGAUUCUCUUCUAUGUUCUCAAGACAAAACAGAGAUGGGGAGCUGGAGAAGAAAGGAUUGGGAAGCUCAGCUCUGCUCAAGACUAGGAAGCAGACAGGGCUCUUGGUCUUGGAAGCCCUGGGAACCAGCACCCCACUGCUGUUCAGGUCUCUGAUGGAUGGCAAACGGAUGCUGGCACGAGUCUGGGACUUGAGAGCCACAAGCCGUGAUCCCCUUUGCUGAGACAAGUGAUAGAACAUUAGUGCACCAGCCUUCAAGAGGCCUGCAGACCUAGACACAGCUUCCUGGAGCAAUCGCUGAUGUUGACAAUGUGGACUGUGGCUGUGCAAGUUUCCUAGCAUGAGGAGAUGUACAGCGAAGUAUUUAGGAAUAAAGUGCCAUGAUGAAUGCAGCUUACUCCCAAAUAGCUCAAAAAAAUAUUGUCUAAACAGAGCAAAUGGGAUCAAGUAUUAGCAAGAGGUGAAUCUGGGUAAAG